CCUACGGGUGGCAGCAGUGAGGAAUAUUGGUCAAUGGACGCAAGUCUGAACCAGCCAUGCCGCGUGCAGGAUGACGGCUUUAUGAGCUGUAAACUGCUUUUUCACGAGGGUACACCUCGAAACGUGUAUCGUGCAGAAAGUAUCGUACGAUUAAGAAUCGGCUAACGCUGUGUCAGUAGCAGCGGUAAUACGGAGGAUCCGAGCGUUAUCCGGAUUUAUUGGGUUUAAAGGUUGCGUAGGCGGUUUGAAAAGUUAGAGAUGAAAUGUCGGGGCUCAACCCAGAGAAUGCUUCUAAUACUGUUGAACUAGAGAAUAGUUGCGGUAAGCGGAAUGUAAGGUGUAGCGGUGAAAUGCUUAGAGAUCAUACGGAACACCGAUUGCGAAGGCAGCUUACCAAACUAUAUCUGACGUUGAGGCACGAAAGCGUGGGUAGCAAACAGGAUUAGAUACCCUUGUAGUC
rnacentral:rRNA from 1 species